GAUGAACGCUGGCGGCGUGCCUAAUACAUGCAAGUCGAACGAAUGGAUUAAGAGCUUGCUCUUAUGAAGUUAGCGGCGGACGGGUGAGUAACACGUGGGUAACCUGCCCAUAAGACUGGGAUAACUCCGGGAAACCGGGGCUAAUACCGGAUAACAUUUUGAACCGCAUGGUUCGAAAUUGAAAGGCGGCUUCGGCUGUCACUUAUGGAUGGACCAGCGUCGCAUUAGCUAGUUGGUGAGGUAACGGCUCACCAAGGCAACGAUGCGUAGCCGACCUGAGAGGGUGAUCGGCCACACUGGGACUGAGACACGGCCCAGACUCCUACGGGAGGCAGCAGUAGGGAGUCUUCCGCAAUGGACGAAAGUCUGACGGAGCAACGCCGCGUGAGUGAUGAAGGCUUUCGGGUCGUAAAACUCUGUUGUUAGGGAAGAACAAGUGCUAGUUGAAUAAGCUGGCACCUUGACGGUACCUAACCAGAAAGCCACGGCUAACUACGUGCCAGCAGCCGCCGUAA
rnacentral:rRNA from 1 species